rnacentral:rRNA from 1 species
CGAGCGAGGUAGCAAUACCUAGCGGCAGACGGGUGAGUAACAUGUGGGAAUCUGCCUUUUGGUUCGGAAUAACACGAGGAAACUUGUGCUAAUACCGGAUAAGCCCUUACGGGGAAAGUUUUAAUGCCAAAAGAUGAGCCCGCACUUGAUUAGUUUGUUGGUAGGGUAAUGGCCUACCAAGACUAUGAUCAAUAGCUGAUUUGAGAGGAUGAUCAGCCACACUGGGACUGAGAUACGGCCCAGACUCC